rnacentral:misc_RNA from 1 species
GGGCAACCUCGCCAACCUGGUGACCCUGGAGCUCCGGGAGAACCUGCUCAAGUCCCUGCCAGCGUCCCUGUCAUUUCUGGUCAAGCUGGAACAGCUGGAUCUGGGAGGCAACGAUCUGGAAGUGCUGCCAGACACUCUGGGGGCUCUGCCCAAUCUUCGGGAGCUGUGGCUUGACCGGAACCAGCUGUCAGCACUGCCCCCGGAGCUCGGGAACCUGCGGCGCCUGGUGUGCCUGGACGUGUCGGAAAACCG